UUGACCUCGGAUCAGGUAGGAAGACCCGCUGAACUUAAGCAUAUCAAUAAGCGGAGGAAAAGAAACCAACAGGGAUUGCCCUAGUAACGGCGAGUGAAGCGGCAACAGCUCAAAUUUGAAAUCUGGCUUCGGCCCGAGUUGUAAUUUGCAGAGGAAGCUUUAGGCGCGGCACCUUCUGAGUCCCCUGGAACGGGGCGCCAUAGAGGGUGAGAGCCCCGUAUAGUUGGAUGCCUAGCCUGUGUAAAGCUCCUUCGACGAGUCGAGUAGUUUGGGAAUGCUGCUCAAAAUGGGAGGUAAAUUUCUUCUAAAGCUAAAUACCGGCCAGAGACCGAUAGCGCACAAGUAGAGUGAUCGAAAGAUGAAAAGCACUUUGAAAAGAGGGUUAAAUAGCACGUGAAAUUGUUGAAAGGGAAGCGCUUGUGACCAGACUUGCGCCGGGCGGAUCAUCCGGUGUUCUCACCGGUGCACUCCGCCCGGCUCAGGCCAGCAUCGGUUCUCGCGGGGGGAUAAAGGUCCUGGGAACGUAGCUCCUCCGGGAGUGUUAUAGCCCGGGGCGUAAUGCCC
rnacentral:rRNA from 1 species